rnacentral:rRNA from 1 species
CCCUUAGAUGUCCGGGGCCGCACGCGCGCUACACUGAAGGAAUCAGCGUGGCUUUCUCCCUGACCCGAAAGGGUUGGGAAACCCGUUGAAUCUCCUUCGUGAUAGGGAUUGGGGCUUGAAAUUGUUCCCCAUGAACGAGGAAUUCCUAGUAAGCGCAAGUCAGCAGCUUGCGUUGAUUACGUCCCUGCCCUUUGUACACACCGCCCGUCGCUACUACCGAUUGAAUGGUUUAGUGAGAUCUUCGGAUUGGCGCCACUGCGGCUCAGCAAUGGGCUCGGUGGAUGCCGAAAAGUUGAUCAAACUUGAUCAUUUAGAGGAAGUAAAAGUCGUAACA